rnacentral:rRNA from 1 species
UACGAAGGGGGCUAGCGUUGCUCGGAAUCACUGGGCGUAAAGCGCACGUAGGCGGCUUCUUAAGUCGGUGGUGAAAUCCUGGAGCUCAACUCCAGAACUGCCUUCGAUACUGAGAGUCUUGAGUUCGGGAGAGGUGAGUGGAACUGCGAGUGUAGAGGUGAAAUUCGUAGAUAUUCGCAAGAACACCAGUGGCGAAGGCGGCGCACUGGCCCGAUACUGACGCUGAGGUGCGAAAGCGUGGGGAGCAAACAGG